UGGGGAAUAUUGGACAAUGGACGAAAGUCUGAUCCAGCAAUGCCGCGUGAAUGAUGAAGGCCCUAUGGGUUGUAAAGUUCUUUUGCCAGGGAAGAUAAUGACGGUACCUGGAGAAUAAGCAUCGACUAACUACGUGCCAGCAGUCGCGGUAAUACGUAGGAUGCUAGCGUUACUCGGAAUUAUUGGGCGUAAAGAGUAUGUAGGCGGAUAUGAAAGCCAGAAGUGUAAUCCCUAGGCUUAACUUAGGAACUGCUUCUGGAACUCUAUAUCUCGAGAUUGGUAGAGGAUAGUGGAAUUCCUAGUGUAGGGGUGAAAUCCGUAGAUAUUAAGAGGAACACCGAAAGCGAAAGCAGCUAUCUGGGCCAUUUCUGACGCUGAGAUACGAAAGCGUGGGGAGCAAACAGG
rnacentral:rRNA from 1 species